rnacentral:rRNA from 1 species
AUUGAACGCUGGCGGCGUGCCUAACACAUGCAAGUCGAGCGGUAACAGGUGUAGCAAUACAUGCUGACGAGCGGCGAACGGGUGAGUAAUGCUUCGGAAUCUACCCAAUGGUGGGAAUAACCAGCCGAAAGGUUGGCUAAUACCGCAUACGUCCCACGGGAGAAAGCAGGGGAUCGCAAGACCUUGCGCCAAUGGAUGAGCCGAAGUCGGAUUAGCUAGUUGGAGGGUAACGGCCUACCAAGGCGACGAUCCGUAGCUGGUCUGAGAGGACGACCAGCCACACUGGGACUGAGACACGGCCCAGACUCCUACGGGAGGCAGCAGUGGGGAAUAUUGGACAAUGGGGGAAACCCUGAUCCAGCGACGCCGCGUGUGUGAAGAAGGCCUGCGGG